GGCCGCCUGGCGUAAUGGCAACGCGUCUGACUACGAUGAGCUGCUAUCGGAGACUGCAGGUUCGAGCCCUACGGUGGUCA